rnacentral:lncRNA from 10 species
CACUGUUGAAAUGGGAAUUCCCUUGUCCCCCUUGCAGGGCGUGCGAUGGGAGUGUGGCUUGCUUCUUCAGUGCACCACUGCACAAACUUCUAGGGGAGCAUACAGACGGGCAGGCUGUGGGGCUCCAACCUCAAGGCAGUGUCCAGCAGUGAAUGUUUACAGCUGAAGCCCCAGUGGGUGUGUGUUACAGGGUGCUCUUUUAGUUUUGCCACCUAUAGGCGGCUUGUGUUAACCGGCUCAAUUAGACCCUCUAACUUGUCUCAAGGACAGAGGGCUUUCUGUAUCCUGGGUUCUUGCCUUGGUGUACUGGAUGAAUUGGAUCACACGUGGGCUUGGAGAAUGAGUGCAAGGUUUUAUUGAAUGGAAGUAGCUCUCAGCUGAUGGGGGAGCCAGAAGGGAGAUGGUUUUCCCCUGGAGUCUGGCCGCUGGGCAGCCCCAGAUCUCCUCCAACUGCCCCAGGCAAACCUCCUUCUCAUCCCGCCUGUCGAUGGCCUAUCGGCAUGCCAACAUCUAUUGAUGUGCUCUUCUGCCAGCAUGCUCCCCUUGACAUCUUUUCACCAUCCAGCCACUUGUGUCUUCUUCCACUGACGUGCUCCUCUUGAUAUCCUGCCGCCUGUGUCUGCCUGCUAGGGUCUCGGGAGUUUUUAUAGGCACAGGAUGGGGUUGUGGCAGGCCAGGGUGGUCUUGGGAAAUGCAACAUUUGGGCAGGAAAUGCCUGUCCUCACUUAGGUCCAUGGGGGUGGAGCCCUAGCCAGGGACGAAGCCCUCCUCUACCUAGCACUUCCCUUCCCCCACGCCCAUUCCAUAUCCUUUAAAGGGUCCAUGCUCUUCCCUUCCCAGCACUUCCAUACCACUAUUACAUAUUACCUCACACCAACCAGAGAGGAAUGUUUUUGCUACCACCAUUUUGCAGACAAAAGAACAGAACUAAAUAAUUUGCUUAACACCAAACAGCUAACAAAUGAUACAACUAGGAUUUAACCCUAGGUCUGAUGAACUCUGAAUAAACUCUUUCUGGCUACCUCCCAUAAAAUCGCAAUGGUAAGGAUAGAGUGAAAAGAUUAAAUUCACAAAUUUCAGAAUUCCAUAAUUAGGGCAUGCAAUCUAAAGUCAGAUGAAAUGGAAAUGCAACUUAAAGUCAGAUGAAAAUAUUACCUUACUAAAUGGUCAGGAAAUGGUAAGGAAUUUUUUUUUUUUCAGUUGCAAGAUUUAAUAGAGUGAAAACAGAGCUCCCAUACAAAGGGAGGGGACCCAAAGAGGGUAGCCGUUGCCGGCUCGAAUGCCUGGGUUUAUAUCCCAAUCAUUGUCCCUCCCGCCAUGCUCUCAGGCAACAGAUGAUUGGCUAUUUCUUUACCUACUGUUUUUGCCUAAUUCGCAUUUUAGUGAGCUCCCUUUACUAUCUGAUUGGUUGGGUGUGAGCUAGGCUAGGGAUUCUUAGUCGGCCUAGGAAAUCCAGCUAGUCCUGUCUCUCAGUUCCCCCUCUCAACAGGAAAACCCAAGUGCUGUUGGGGAGGUUGGCCAACGACUGCUCUAACUGCUUCCUGCUGAAUUGGGGCAUAGUAGGGGCUGUGCAGUUGAGAUUUCCUUGGGAGGGGUGCCUUCGAUGUCAUUAACAUCGGAGCAUGGGCUAGCAGGCCGGUCCAGGGGUCCGCAGUAGAUCUUAGUCGUGGACUGCAUCUGGAGCUCCAUUUGAAGAACCAUUUGUAGUUGCACAGCUUCGAUUCUGGAAGAGACAAACUUCCAAUGCCAAGUUUUCUGAAAUUGCGUUCUGCUGGUCUGGGAUUCCAUCCAGAGCCAGUGUGCUGCAGCAGGAGAAGGCCCAGAGGUAGAUUCACCAUGAAGCUUGCUCAGAACGUUUAAACUUCAGGGUACCUCAAUCACACAGGCCCCUGUGAGUGCUGAAACUUGUAUAGUGACCAGUAUCUCACUCUGAGAGGUGACAGCGUGCUGGCAGCCCUCUGCAGCUCUUGCUCGCUCUCGGCGCCUCCUUGGCUUUGGCGCCCACUCUGGCCGCGCUUGAGGAGCCCUUCAGCCCGCCGCUGCACUGUGGGAGCCCCUUUCUCAGCUGGCCAAGGCCGGAGCCGGCUCCCUCA